rnacentral:lncRNA from 1 species
GCAGACGGCGGAGAGCAGAGAGGGAGCGCGCCUUGGCUCGCUGGCCUUGGCGGCGGCUCCUCAGGAGAGCUGGGGCGCCCACGAGAGGAUCCCUCACCCGGGUCUCUCCUCAGGGAUGACAUCAUCCGUCCACCUCCUUGUCUUCAAGGACCACCUCCUCUCCAUGCUGAGCUGCUGCCAAGGGGCCUGCUGCCCAUCUACACCUCACGAGGGCACUAGGAGCACGGUUUCCUGGAUCCCACCAACAUACAAAGCAGCCACUCACUGACCCCCAGGACCAGGAUGGCAAAGGAUGAAGAGGACCGGAACUGACCAGCCAGCUGUCCCUCUUACCUAAAGACUUAAACCAAUGCCCUAGUGAGGGGGCAUUGGGCAUUAAGCCCUGACCUUUGCUAUGCUCAUACUUUGACUCUAUGAGUACUUUCCUAUAAGUCUUUGCUUGUGUUCACCUGCUAGCAAACUGGAGUGUUUCCCUCCCCAAGGGGGUGUCAGUCUUUGUCGACUGACUCUGUCAUCACCCUUAUGAUGUCCUGAAUGGAAGGAUCCCUUUGGGAAAUUCUCAGGAGGGGGACCUGGGCCAAGGGCUUGGCCAGCAUCCUGCUGGCAACUCCAAGGCCCUGGGUGGGCUUCUGGAAUGAGCAUGCUACUGAAUCACCAAAGGCACGCCCGACCUCUCUGAAGAUCUUCCUAUCCUUUUCUGGGGGAAUGGGGUCGAUGAGAGCAACCUCCUAGGGUUGUUGUGAGAAUUAAAUGAGAUAAAAGAGGCCUCAGGCAGGAUCUGGCAUAGAGGAGGUGAUCAGCAAAUGUUUGUUGAAAAGGUUUGACAGGUCAGUCCCUUCCCACCCCUCUUGCUUGUCUUACUUGUCUUAUUUAUUCUCCAACAGCACUCCAGGCAGCCCUUGUCCACGGGCUCUCCUUGCAUCAGGUAGGGGCUUUGCAGAGACCAUCGACGGGCUGACUUGAGUAAGAACACGAAUUAUGCAUGUGGCCAUUUCCAGAGCACUUUCUAUGUGAUAUGAACAUGUGAUUUUUAUGUAAUAUGUGUAUGUAAACGAGGCAGCCUCAUUUCCAGGUGAGGAUGCAUUUGGUAGUGUUGAUUUUUGUAAUUUAAAGAAGCUGAAAGGGAGAGAGGACCCGUGAGGACUGAACUCUCUGUCCCAUGGGGUAGGGCUUACAUUUACAUUAAAGAAACAGAAACUUGCUGGGAGGUGUAAGUAUUUGGUCACAUUGCUGGCAACAGAAGGGGUUGGAGUUGGACCCAGGGUGCCACGCUAGCUGCCCUCACCCCUUCUUCCCCUCUGGCCCAGAGUUAUACUAAGAGUCCUUUUAUUUCAAACCAAAUGUUUGACAAUGGGACAGUCUGUUUGAAAUCCCAGCUGCCUGGGGUGGUCUUGGGGGUCUGGGUGGCCCCAGUGCUGGUACCAUGUGCUGGCUUCACCUUUUAAUAACAGUGUGACCUUAAACAAGUCGCUUAACUACUCUAAGUUUCAGUUUCUUUCAUGGUCUAAAUGGAGAUUAAAACACACACACACACACACACACACACACACACACACACACCCCCUCGUGUAUCUACCCCACAGGGCGCUUUUGAAGACCAAAUGCUGUAACUACUAUGAAAGUGCUUUGUAAAUUGCUGUGGAAAGUGUGAGCUACUCAAGCACCCGAGGCUGUCCCUCCUUGCUCACAUGUCCAGCCCAAUUCUCCCUUAGUGAGAACAGCACUCAGUAGGUGCUGUGUGUGUUUGUGUUCAAUUAAGAAAUUCCAGAAUAAAUAAAAAUGAAUUAAUUCAACAAACAUUUUCUGGGGCACCGACAAUCUGCCCAGUGCACCAGGCUAGGUAUCUGAUACAAAGAUAAUGAAAACAGUCUCUUGGAACCUAAUUGGGGUCCUCAUUUGACCAGGAAUUUCUUUCGUCCCGUUUUAAGCCAACCAGUUUUGUCCGGACAAGACAAAAACAACUUGGGCUGCUUUAGAGAAGCCCAGCUCAGUGUAGACAAUAGCUGCCCAGCCUCUGAAAGGGGCUGAUUGGAUUAUGUGGCAAAUGGAGGUGCAAGGAUGACUUGGACGGUGACAAAUGAAGUGGGCGGAGACCUGCUUUGAGUUAAUCCAGGCUAUUAGGAGGGGACCUUUUGUCUUCCAGAGACUGGCAGGAGCUUUUACCAGUGGUUUUUACAUCCUUAAUGUUCAGGACGAAUAAUUUAUGGUCAGUGAAAAUCCAGGCCCCAGUGAGAUUCGAGUGGGCUGUAAAAUCGAGAGUCCUGCUCCCAGUGAGUAAUGGUAGUGAAUGUUUCUGUCACUUUUUGCAACCGUCCAUUCAUUUGAUCCUCACAACUCCCUGUCCUGAGCCAGGACCGGCCACUGCCACUCCCAGGGAAACAGAGGCUGUCAAGAGGCUCCACAGAUUGGGCCCCACUGGAUCAUUGAACCCCUGUUCCCUGAGUUCUAGAGGAAGAAUUGUACCUGUCUCAGUCCCGGCCACCUCCAGAAGGCCUCCCUCUGCAUUUCUGACUUUGCUGUGCCGGCAGCCUGGAGCCUCCCAGGUCCCUGCUGUCAUCUUUUCUAGCCACUACAGUCUCUGUCUUUCCUUUCACAGCCAAGCUUCUUGAAAGGCCUGUCUACACUUGCUGUCUUCCUUCCUCACCUCCAAUUUCCUCUUCAACCCACUGCUUCCUGACUCGCUCUACUCCGUGGAAGCACGCUCACAAAGGUAAAGACUUUUCUGUGGCUUAAUCCUUGUCAUGUUUUCGGCUCAUGGACACAAGGACACAUUUUCAUGCCUUCUCUCACAGGGCUCUGCGUCUCCGGUUCACUUCUGUGUCUUUACACUCCCUUCACAGAGACACUUGCUCCCCCUUCUCUCGUUCUUAGCAUCCCCUAGGAACUUGCACACCCAGGUCUCUCGACUUCUGGACCUGCUUCUUACCAUGCCGUCUUAAGCAGUCAGGAGUCGCUGCCUGGGUUCGAGUCCUAGUUAAAUUACUUAGUGCUGAGACCUUGGGGUAGGUAAACUUUUCCAAGCCAGGUUUAUCUCAGUUUCAAAAUAGGGUUAAUCGUCUUUAUCUGGCAGGUCAGGUGGGAUGUCUCACAGGUAAGCACCAGAUGCCAUUUGAAAGGCUUGAAGCAAAGUCAAUAAAGCAUUCAUGGGAAAAUACAACUGGAGGCACCACUAGAUUUUCGUAUACAUUAGGUUCCCACGGGGAGGACCGAAGAGAGAAGAAAGAAGUGGAAAGGGAGGAGCGUGCAGGAGAGACAGGAGAAGAGAAUAACUAAACAAAGACAUUAAAGACAAAAAAAAAGUAGGAAAGGGAGACUUAGAAAAUAUUAAAAGCCACCAAAAACACAUCCAAAGACGGUUUCCCCUUACGUUAGUUGGGCUAAAAGAAAGCAAAUGGGAAGAAGGUUUUAAAUUGAUUAUCCCAGUGACAAAUCCCAGGAAGCUUUCACAUCAAAUCACCCUAUUCUGGGUUUUUAACUCCUUCCAUCGAGUUUAACCUCUUUACCUCCCACAUCCUGGUAAACCCUGCCCCCUCCCUACCGCCCCCUUUGCUGGUGAUUAAAUCCUGAAGGUACACGAAGUAUUUCAGUGAAUGAAUGGCUAACAGAAAAGGGCCUCCCCUCCCCCUUACCCUGGCGGUGUUUUUCAGUUUUAUUCCACUUUCCGCCCUUUUCCCUUAAUGAACACAGGGCUAAUCUCGGGCCUUGUCGAAGGAAGAGGCUGCAGACGUUAAUGAGGUUAGCUGCUGGAUUCCAGUAUUCGUCGCAUAAGGAUCCUUCUUUGUCUGCGAAGGAAAAACACACUGAUUAUCAUAAUGAGGUGAACUGGCCACCGCCGGGCCGGGGCGAUGUGGCUUCUUAAGCCACACUUCUAAUUUUGGUGAUGGAGCCGACAUUUCUUUGGCUUCUCAUUUAAGUCUUUGCCUCUGUCCCAGUGCGAAGUCCAUUCAGCGGGGUUGAAAGUUGCAGGCAGCUUUGGGAAGGGGGGCGUCGGACAGGGUUGCAUUGUAGAAAGUGGCUUUGUUCGAUCCUUCGCACAGAUGCAAAUGGCCAGAGCAUUCAUUCCCUUUCUUCAAGAGCUGAGGACUGGGGGGGCCACUGGUGAUCAGUUCCCAACUCUAGCUCUCCUCUGACUCAUCUCAGGACCCAUUGAGGACAUCCAAAACUCACUCAAGAUCACCAAGUGGUAGGAAAGUACUAACUCCUGGGCAUAGCCCUAGGGGAGUGACUACAAUGUGAAUACUCAUGGAAUGCCUAGCCAGGUGAAGAAGUGAAUGCAUGUUGGCAUCCCAGAGGGACCCCCCUUAAGAGGGCAUAGUUUGGGGUUCAGAUUUGACUCCAGCAUACUGUUGAAAUUGGGCACAGGGGGCUAGUGAUUAGUCAGGAUCAAUCAGUGGAGAGGAGAUUAAAACUCACAUCUGGGAGUCCGGAAUCAGAACUUGUAGUUCUUUUUUUUGAAAUGGAGUCUCGCUCUGUCGCCCAGGCUGGAGUGCAGUGGCGUGAUCUCGGCUCACUGCAACCUCUGCCUUCCGGGUUCAAGCAAUUCUCCCACCUCAGCCUCCUGAGUAGCUGGGAUUACAGGCGCCCACCACCACAGCCGGCUACUUUUUGUAUUUUUAGGAGAGACGGGGUUUCACCAUGUUGGUCAGGCUGGUCUUGAACUCCUGACCUCAUGAUCCACCUGCCUUAGCCUCCCAAAGUGCUGGGAUUACAGGCGUGAGCCACCAUGCCCAGCCCUAUAGUAGUUCUUCUUUUGCCCCUUAAUAUCUUCACCCACAUGUCCUGUACCCUGCCUGAACCCUCCUCCUCUUUUUGUUCUGAUCUUUGAGCUCCCUAGAGCCCAUAAUUCUUUAGAGCAGGUAUGUCCCGAGUCUGAAACAUGCCCUUAUUUGUCCCAAGCUCUGGACAUUUCUCACCCCAAGGCGGAUCAAUCAUGAUUAAAUCACUCCAAUUAAACUUUAGGCUCCAGUCAGACCUUCAGCCAAAUGGAAAAAAAAACUAGGGGAUAAGGGAGGUAGUUGGAGCAAGAAAAUGUUAUUAGUUGAAACCUUACGGGACCUUCCUCCCUUAGUGAGUCUGUUGGCUAAAGGUUCUCUGGCUUCGUGAAUUAGAAUCGGAUACUGUUUCCAAGUUAGCAAAACCAACUCUACCCCAGCACCCCACGAGGAAGAAUGUGGAAGGAUCUCCCAUUGGCCGGUUGGGGCAAAAGCCUGAGGCAAUCUUUCAUCCCCUUUUGCCAAGGCGAGACUUUCCCAGUGACGGUGAUGUAGUUGGCCACUCUGACUAUGGGUGGACUCGGGUGUAGACCUCUGAAGCUGAGAUCACACGAAAACCUGGCCUCCCCGCCAUGUAGCUGUUGGAGAGUAGAAAAAUAGAGCACGCCUGAUGUUUCUAAAUGAGAAGACUUUCAAUAGUAAUGAAGAAUCCAUGGCACUCUCCUCACCCUCAAACACAUGGCAGUCAUUCACAUACAGGCCCCAAAGCCACUGUUAGUGCUGCAGUAGCUCCUGUGGACAUUGGAAAGCCCGGAGAGGGCGUGGAAGAAAUCAGCUGGCCCCCGGCAGGUUCUCUGGGGUUUUGUGCCCAAGGCUCCUGGAGCCCUAAAAACUUUCAAAAGUUAACUCCCCACGUCCCCAUCCUGCUUGGGUUUCUGGACUUUUCUGAGGCACCGGCAGAGGGGUCUCGUUGCUCCCUUGAGUGUAGGGGCAGCCCUUUAACCUGGCUCCUUGAGUCCCUGCUUUUUCUGCUUCUGUUGCCUUCUUCCUCGUCUUCCUCUCUCUCAAUAUCUCCCUCUCUUUGUCCCUCCCCAGUUCCUGACCUGGCCAUCCCGGGGUGCCCUUGACCAGCCCCGUGUCUCCUCAGGGUGUCCCAGCACCAGCCUGGCACAGAGUGGGGCUCAGUUAGAGUAUGUGGGAUGUUGGUUUCGCCAGGUGAGUGAAUGAAAGGACUCGACCACCACAGCUGAGCCACUAGCUGGGCCAUGCGAAGAGUUCUAGGUGCAAAGGCUGGAGGGUGGAAUUCAUUUUUGAGAGGUGUGUGAGCAGCUUCCGACCCCUGCCCCAUUUGAACGGGGGCCUUGCUGGUCGCGUCCCUGCAUUCACCCGCGCGGCCAUCCCGUCAUCCAACAGUUGAUCCUAACUGAGCACGCCCACGGCCCUGGUCUGGCCUGGGCACCGGCCACCGUAGCCCAUCCCUUGAUGGCCUCUGUGUCCCCAGGAGGGCGGGCCGGGGGGUUGCCCAGGGGCUGGAGCAGUGGACUGUGGCUCCAUAGAGGUAGGCCGGAGGGUGUGAGGGCAGAUUCAAGCUAUCCCCAGGGCUCUGCUCUGGUCGGAGCCAGCCCCUUCUCCCUCUCUGCCUUCCCCGCCCCAUUCCUGAUGCUGAACUGUUCUGGACCCCUGGCCCUGAGUCUCUCAGGACCAAAGUGGGCACGGGAACAGCUGUAGUGUGUGCCCCCCCGGGCUUUGGCCACAGGUCUCCCUCUCGAGGUGUGGUUGUGACUGCGACCCUUCCCUUGCCGUGAUGCCUUCCUCCCCCGGGGCUUGGUCCAGCUCCUUCACUCUCUAGCAGCUGCUGGGGCCCACCUCCCAUGCCGAGGACCAGCAGGGGAAACCUCCAGGGAGCAUCUGCAGGCUCUGCUUCUGCCCGGCUGCUGGCUUGCUCUCCCUGGUGGCUCUCCAGCGGCCAGCUUCCUCACCCACCCGGCACUCCGCUUUGCUCUGUCUCCUGAGGUGGGCCUGACCAACCUCCCCUUCUCUGCCUCAGUCCCUGGGCUCCAGGGCUCAGCUCCACAGCCCUCUGCCUAGCAGGCUGGUUCUCCCUGCCAAGCCCAUACCUGUGGUCACCUGGCCCUCCUGUGGUCUGAGUACCACUCCCCUGCCCCAGGAGCCACUCCCACUCCAGCUGCCUGUUUCCAGCAGGUUCCCAGUGCCCCCGACAAGCCCCUGCUGGUGUCUCCAUCUCCUGCCAAGCAUCCUCCAGUGCCUCCUCCUGUGGGCCUGGCCUCAGGGCUAUGGACAGACUCCUGUCCCAUCCCAGAGACCCCUCGUGAUCGUGCCCUGCCCGUUGCUGCUUUGCACCUUUUCCUGUCAUUGGGCAUCCCCCAGUAGUCACCCCACUCCACCGAAAAGUAAACUGCAGGUGAGGCCGUGCCCCGAGUCUUUCUUCGGUGUGUUUGGCUUUUCCGGGGCGCUUGCCUUGCCAUGAUUCUAACUCUCUGCCCUUCCCCAAGGCACGUGGGCCGUGGCCCGGCUGGGUCGGCUGAAGAACUGCGGAUGGAAGCUGCGGAAGAGGCCCUGAUGGGGCCCACCAUCCCGGACCCAAGUCUUCUUCCUGGCGGGCCUCUCGUCUCCUUCCUGGUUUGGGCGGAAGCCAUCACCUGGAUGCCUACGUGGGAAGGGACCUCGAAUGUGGGACCCCAGCCCCUCUCCAGCUCGAAAUCGGCAGACUAGGAUGGAAGUGCCCUGUGAGCUGGGGGGCCCUUCAAAGGGCCAAGGAGAAAACGCAGGCCGAGGGACCAGCCUUCCAAAUGGGCUUCAAGCUCCAAUGACCUCCGCUCGCCCCCUCGAAAUGUCUGGAAAACAUAAUGGGCAGAUUUUCUGUCUUCAAAGUUUCCGGCUAAACCUCUUCAAGUUCUUUAUUGUUUGGGACUGAGACACUCAGCCAUGUUAAUGGGUAGUUUCUUUUGUAUUUGCCUUGAAAGGCCAAAAUAUUUUUAUAUUGCCACAGACAAAGCCACCUAUUUAAAAAUGAACUCCAUGUCCGUCGUUUCCCACCAGGAGACUAUGUACCAUGUGUGUGUCUCUAUGUAUUCUGGGGUCUUGAAACAGGUUUCUCAUGGGGAUGGUCAUUCACCACGGUCCAGAGGGGCAGAACAGGCGGCGCUUGCCUUGCCCAGGGGGCCUGGGGAACGUGGGCCCUCAUCUCAGAUCUGCCCCCAGUAUGUUUAGGACGCGAGCCCCAGAAGGAUCUGGGAGUAAACUUAACAUUCACUGUGUCUCUGCUCUGCAUCCGCCAUUUGUGUGUGUUUCUGGACUGUGGGCUGUGUGUACCUUGGUUGGUGACUCAGUGAGAAGAAGCAGGAAUGCCAAAGAUACUGUGAAUGUUCUGAGUUUUGUUGCUGUUGUUGUUGAGAGGUUGUUUCACUGGUAUCUAUUGCAUUGUAUAAUAAAUGACCAGAUGAAUGAAUGAGUGAAGCAAGAGAGAAUGAAUAAACAAGUAAAUAGGUAAAGAAGUAAGCAAGCCAGGAUGAGAGUGUGUGUACACAAGACCAUGGUUCAUCCGCUUUGAUGGCUAGGCAAUCAAUAUAUAAAUAGAAAAAAACCAGUGAAUCACUAAGUAAUAGGGCAACACACAAAGCGAUAUCAGGUGAUUAUGGACUAAGGGGUAUGUGUAACUCAAAUAUAUGCCUCUGACAUUUGACAAUGAAAAAGAACCUAAAUGAAAGAAAGAAUGGAUGUAUGAGUAGUGAAGUGCAGAAUGAGACAUAGAUUUUGAGGCCCGUCAAAAUGAAAAGAUGCAAGUUAGGGAACAAGUGAUCAAAAGGGAGAAGGGAAAGGUUUUUUUUAAAAAACCAAAACAACAAAGAAAGGUUAAAAAAAAAAACAGACUAGAGGAUGAGUAAUGAGUAACUCUGUAAGGAGGACCAUGUCAGACUAUUGUAAGCUAAGCAUUAGGACUGAUACAAAUAAUAUAUGCUCCUGGCAUAGAAAAAUAAACCACAGAGAACGAGUUCAAAGAAUAGCAAAGAAAGAAAGAGGACCCAGUGGGCGAAAGAUGAGAGUGUACUUUUACCAAAAGUUAUCUAAGCCUGAGCACUUGAAGUCUGCACAUAAAUAAAUAAAUGACAAAAGAAAGAAAAAAAGGCCAAAAAGUCUACAUUGCGUGUGUGGAUGGAUGAAUGAGCAGUGGGAGUGCAGCGCCAGGUGACAAGAUGUUGUGAGGGGUUUUGAGUCAUCCAGUCCUGGGCACUGAGGUCUGUUAGAUGAAAGGAUAUGAGAAAGGUAAUAUUGGUAAAUAAAGAAAUAGGAAACAAUGUAACAAAUGUUAAGUACAGAAAUACAUUAAUGGGUGGUAAAUAAAGAUGUAAAAGAAGGCAAUGCGAUCGAUGGUGGCAAAAGAUCAUCACAGAUUAAGGGCUAUGGCUGGUCCACUUCUAGAAAACCACAGGCUGUCCAUUAAAUAAUGAACAUCUAAGUGAACAAGUCAGUGAGUACCUAAAUAGACAAGGAUGAGGUGAAUGAGAAGACAUGGCCCCAUGGGUCCUCCUGAUGAGGGUGUUGGGGUCCCCCCUGGGCACCCCAGCUGCAUGAAAAUGAAGGACAGGAGGUAUGGAAAGCUAUGACAGAAGAGAGAAAGGAACGGUAAAAAGAAAUAACAACCAAAUGGAUAAAUGGGUAGAUCCACGAGAAGAGUUAGGCUAGGACUUGUCAUAAGGGCACCUGACUCCACUAAUAGAGGAAUAAAUGCCUAAUAAAAAGAGAGCAAGCAGGAAGGAAGGAUGCUAUGAAUGCAGGAAGGAAGUAAUGAGUGAGACGUGGAACCGCACGGCCAAGGAUGGACGUUUGCGGGUGGCUUUUUGAUGCGUACAGCCAAGCCACUCCAUGGCAAUGAGCUCCGAAGACAAAGUGCAAGAGAGAAUGAGUGAGAGAGUGAGAGAGAGAGAAACAAUAAAAAAUGGGAAGAAAUGUAAAAAGGAAGAAAGGAAGAGAGGUAAUAUAUUAAGGAAUAAAUACAUGCAUGCAGAUUUAAGACAGAGCCAUGCUAGAACAGGAAUGAAAGGCUGUGUGAACCAAGCAGACCGCUUAAUUGGCACCAGUGCUGCUGGUAUGGUCAAUCACCUACUCAACUAAGGAACGGCUCAAAGCAUACACAUGGGAGGGAGGAGUGGGGCCACAGAGAGAGGGCCCAUUAGUUGCAGAUUACGAUGUAUCCAGUUAGGUGCACCUGCCUUCGAGAAGUGUAAAAAUAAGUAUUUACAUAGAAAGAAAGACUGAAUGGAUGCACGGUGAAUGCAUGAAUGAUUGAACGACAGAAAAGAUUUGCAUUGACCGAUGAGGAGGGCAUUGUAGACAGGGAUGAGGGUCAUUGAUCCUGGGUGCAGAUCUCCAAAAGAAUGACAGAAAGAAAGAGGGAGUGGUGGAAAGAAACAAUAGGAUGGGAAAAAAUGAAAAUAGAAAAAAGGAAGUGAAAGAGAUAAUAAAUAAUUAGAUCAAAUAAGUUGAUGAAAGGGGACUGGUUUAGCACAAGCCAUCCACAUUAAUUCAAACCUGUGGCUCUGAAGUUUGUUUUUUAAAUGACCACAAGUGUAAGACUGAAUGAAAGAAUAAAUGCGUGCAUUCCAUAGGAUGCAAGAAAAGGAGUGAGGAAUGGGAAAAUUGGAAGAACGAGAGAGGGAGAGAUGUAAGAAAAGAAAGGAAAAGUGAAGUAGGCAUAUGAAAGAAAAGGCACUUCUUGGACAAGCACUGAAAUAUAAUGAGACAGUUUUACCCAUUAAAUAUAAUAAACAGUAAACGUUGAGGUUCAUCAAUAAAAGCACAGAUACCUGAAUAGAGGAGUGACCUGAAUAGAAUUCGUUCAGCCGAACGAAUGAGAAUGGAUGAUUUUCACUAUCCUGUGCACUCAAGGCCCAAAAGAGAAAGCAAGAGAGGAGAGAAUAUGGAAACGUAUGACAGGAUGUAUAUAAGCAAUACAAACAUAUUGAAUGAAUAAAUAAAGACAUAAAUAUGUGGGAGAGUGGACCACGCAAGGACAAAAAGAGGAGAGAAGGCAGCAAGAAUUAUGACUAAUUCAAAACUGGGUUCCUGAGAUAGUUAAAUAAAUCCUGCACCAAAUCCCCAGGGGGAGAAAUUAACAAACAAAAGACAGCCCCACACGGACCAGUGUGCAGAAGGCUCCAGGAACCGCAGAUUAUGGUUAAUCCAAUUCUGUGCACCUGAGGUCCAUAAAUAAAAGAAUAAGUAUUGAAAUGAAAGAAUGACAGAAAGAAUGAAUGGACACAUGAACGACUGAAUUAGAAAUGGAAAUGCCUGGCACAGCCAGGAAGGAGCUGCCCAUGGGAUUGUCAUUCAUCUCACUCUGGGCACCUGAGGUCCAUAAGCGUGAAAAGAGGCAGGAAGAGAAGUGUCAGGGAGUCAAAGAUAGAGCUAAGGAAAGGCAAAAAUGAAACUAAAUGAAAGCGAAAGGGAAAAUAAAGAAAAACCAAUAAAAAAGAGAACGAAUACGUGGGUGUAUCUGUAAGAGUAGGAUCUGUUAGGAUUAGUCAUAAGACUGUCAGUAAUCCUGAAGAUGGAUGAGAUAAUCCAGGCCCAGGUUCCCAGGGGGAGGGAAAAUGGAGAAAAUAUAAAAAGAUGUGAAAAAGGAAAAAGGAAAGGUAAUAAACAAACAACCAAAGUGAUAAAUGGAUAGUUAAGGGAGGUUGUCUGAACAGGGAUUAUAAUUAGUUUACAUACAUACUCCUUAAACAGAUAAAUACAUUACACCUUUCAAAGAAUAAAUGAAAAAUAGAGAGACAUACCUGGCUCCAAAACAAGGCUGUAUCUUCUGCCACUGUAAUAAAAUAGAUGCAAUUGAGGUUCAUAAAUAAAAGAAUAAAUACUUAAACGUGAAAGGUGACUAAAUGCGGGGAAGAAAGAUUGCAAAUAAAUACAUGGGCCAAAGAUGUUUGGUUUGCCCAUGGAGUUUUAAUUAAAAAAAUUAAUAAGGAAAACAAAUACCCAAAAUAAGGAAGACUGACAAAUGAGUGAGUGGAUGAGAGAGUGAAUGGUGCUUGACGUAGGAGCAGUAGUGCUUUAGGGACCAGCAUGAAGGUGGUGACCGGGAGCCCUGAUUCAUGGGAUUCUGUCCACCUGACUUUAUAAGAACCAAGAAUGGCUGGGAAUGGUGGCUCACGCCUGUAAUCCC